AACGAACGCUGGCGGCAUGCCUAACACAUGCAAGUCGAACGAAGGCUUCGGCCUUAGUGGCGCACGGGUGCGUAACGCGUGGGAAUCUGCCCUUUGGUUCGGAAUAACAGCUGGAAACGGCUGCUAAUACCGGAUGAUGACGAAAGUCCAAAGAUUUAUCGCCAGAGGAUGAGCCCGCGUUGGAUUAGGUAGUUGGUGGGGUAAAGGCCUACCAAGCCGACGAUCCAUAGCUGGUCUGAGCGGAUGAUCAGCCACACUGGGACUGAGACACGGCCCAGACUCGUACGGGAGGCAGCAGUGGGGAAUAUUGGACGAGGGGCGCAAGCCUGAUCCAGCAAUGCCGCGUGAGUGAUGAAGGCCCUAGGGUUGUAAAGCUCUUUUACCCGGGAAGAUAAUGACUGUACCGGGAGAAUAAGCCCCGGCUAACUCCGUG
rnacentral:rRNA from 1 species